GGUAACUAUCCCGUUCUUAACAUUAAACUGAUAUAAGUUAUAACUUAAAAAUUUAAUAUAAUCUAAUACACUUCAAAAUGUCUAUAAAGAUAUUUCCUGUUUGAUAAAAUAAUCUUCUGUACACAAUAAACAUACAUUAAAUUGAAGUGUCUAUCUGUUAUGGUUGGUCUCUGUAACAGCUGAACUUAUUCUAGAUAUACUUUUCCUGCAAAUAAGGAUAUUUCUCAGACUAAUUUUUAUUCUAGUAUUCUACUCUUAAAAGAUAAAUUCCUGAGUUUAAGUUCAUUUAGUUUCUUAAAAACAUUAAUUUAUUCAUAAAUUAAACAAGUUCAAAUUACUGUAUAGAAAGUUUAAUAGCUGACAACAAACACGUCUGUCAUCAUUCAUUACUUAUAUCAGUGCUUAGGUACUUUUUUGAGUACUGGGCUAUAGAUACUGAAAAUAUUAAUUUUUUAAAUCGUUACAUUUUAUAGACCAAAUUAAAGCCACUGAUCUUAAAAGUAAGUAAUUACUUUAAAGUUUUUGAAGUCGAUUAUAGUUGGUAAAUACCAAAUAUAUUCUACUGUUAUAUUUGUAUCAUGAAUUAAGAUAUAUAAAGAUAUAUUAAGGUAUACAGGAUCCAACCGUAUUAUCAGUAAAUCAAAAACAUUCUUAAUUUUAAACAAAAUACUUGGCGCAAUCUUAUGUAAUAUGUAUGAAUUAUUAAGGUAACUAUUUUAAAUUAAAUCGUGCUAGGAUAAUAGCAAAAUCGCGAUAUCUGAUAAUACUGACAAUAGUUAUUUUAAUUUUAUUUUUUUUAAAUUUAUUUUAAAAAACGGGCCAUAGCCCAAAUACAGAAAAACUUCACAUGCUGGCUUUAUAUAAAAAUCACAUAAGCAAAUUGACAGUACUACAUGAUUACAAUACUAAUUUACAAAUAAACAGAAAUGACAGGUUCUCGUUGGCAAUGCGCAUCAUCCUAGCCAUUGGUUGAUUACGCGAGUAGUUGAUGGUGCAGUGUUUAAUGGCGAAAGGAUAAGAUGAUUGAGACCAGAGGUAAGGCGUUCUAAACAAACCUGGCUAAGUAACGGAGGACAGUUUAUCAUUUCCUCAUUAUGCUUCUCUAAGAACAGUUGGUUAGUAAUUCUUUACCUAGGGAUCUUUGCCAGGGAUUGCAGACAAAACGCAUUCAACACCAAAUCAUACUUAUGCGACUAGUGGUCAAUUUUUAGCAAAUAAGCAGCAAAGCUCAAGAAUUUUUACUGGACUCUCUUUAUAUGAACUCUAUUUUCCCUGUGUGUGGACUCCAAAUGACUACACCAAAUUCUAGAAUCGAAUUAACAACAGCACAGUAUAGGGCUUUUAGAAGAGUAAACAAUUUAAAUUGUUGCAAAUUCGCUUUAAAAAUCCGAGCGUUUUUAGAUUUGCAGCAAGAUGCUUCGAUGUAGGCCUGGAAGUUUAGAUUUUAAUCAAAUAAAAUCCCAAGAUCAUUGACUGAAUUACCCAGAAUAAUAAGGACGGUACUAGAUAGACAGUACGAGAAUACUAGAGGACUAUGUUUUCUACGAAAUGGGAUUGAGCAGCAUUUGGCAACAUUAAACUGUAGUCCGAUAUUAUUAGCCCACCCAGUCAAAGCAUUCAAAACACUUUGUAAUAAAUUAUUGCAAUUAGGCAAUCAUUUACAGUACGUACUUUCACAAAUAAUUUCGAUUUCGAUAAGAAUUCCGAUUUUUUCAUUAAGCAGUUUUACCUGGGAAGUUAAAGCGGCUUUUUCUUCCUUGAUCAAGCUCAACUCAAUAGAUUUAUUAUCAAUUACAGAUGCAAAGAAUUUGUGGCCAGCAACACAAUAAUAAUCGAUAUAGUAUACAUGAGUUCAAUAACAGUAAUACAGAGUACGAGUAACUAAAAGAUAAAUGAGCUCGUAGCUCGUAGCAACGAAAAUAUGGCACGUCUAUUGAGGCUUAAGGUUAAGACUGUAUUGUAAAUACAAAUGGUUUUAGUUUGUUUUCAUAUCACUUCUAUUUUAAAGCACUAGCUGUCUCGCCACACAGUAGGACCUACAUACUUCAAGAAAAAUACUAAUGAGACGCUUUGUUUCAUAUCCUGUUAGUACAUCUCAAUUCAUGAUUUGUACAGACAUAGUUGAUAAAAACCUUUAUUUAAAAAAAAAUUUGCUAUUAUUGAUUAUAUACUUUAUUGUGACGUCAAGUAUUUUGUUUAUAUUGGAAGUACGUUAUGUGUUUUUAUCUACCUACUUAUAUGUUAUAAUGAUCCUAAUUAUUUUAUACUUUUUCUAGGUGAAUCGGGAUUAAAUAAUUUUAUCAAAUCAUAUUGGUCGUAUAGUAAGUUAUAUAAGAUAAAUAAUAAAUUUUCUUAACUUGUACUUAGACAUGGAUAACAAAUUAAAAAUCCAAGAAGUAUUUAAAUACCUACGUUACCUAACGUACCUAAGUUACCAAGAAAAGCUAGAUUUGGAAAGUUGGCUUAAUUUCCCACUUGGGUUUAGAUAAAAAAAUAUCUUACUCAUAUAAUAUAUUAAUAAUUACUAUUUAAUGCAUGCUGCAUCCCCUUUCAUUAAAGAUAUUUUCUAAGCUUGUCACUUUUAAUUUAUAUGUGAAUUGACAGUAUGAUAAUUUAGUAGAAAUCAUUCUAAACUAUAUUCAAUGCAUUUAUUAUAAAUUUGUAAUAGAUAACUUUAUUUUUUAGCACAAAACGACCCAAAAGAAUUGAUUAGUAAGUUUUAUUUAAAUUUAUUAACACGAUCAGACAUUUUUUUUUAAAUACUUAAAGUAUUACAAACCAUAGAUUAAUAUUAUAUGGAAAUAACCAUUAUUUACAACUCAUUUUAUAAUUCAUUUAAUGAUUGGUCAAAUUUAAUAUCUGUUUAAAUCGCACUACAACAUUUAUUUUAUUUUAUACGGGCGUGACUCACCCGUAGUAGUAAUUCAAUAAAUUAGCACGUAGGCAAUUCAGUGGAAGUGAAAAACGGAACCAGGAAUUUAAGUAUUUAUUGAGCAGGUAUUAGUGUAAGAACGAAGGGUGGACGUGAGAAAGACGUAUCAUGCUGUCUAUAAGAUCGCCCAAAACUAUAUUUGAUAGUGUGCAAAGGGAUUGCAAAAGUGUUGGUAGAGCAGGUCAGACGUAGAGGGACUCGAAAGUUGAUGAGGAAAAGGAGAGAAGGUGCGUCCACAGAACCACCAAUGAGGUUACGAGGGUAAUGUUAACUUUUCUAUUGGCUAGCGUUGGUAAACCAAGCACGUGGAGAACAGAAGAGUAUUUAUGUAACAGGUGGGAGAUAUUCCAUGGCCAGCAUAGGACAGAAAACGUCUUUGAACUCACUCGAUAAUUGCAGAGUCGGAGUCUGUAAUGGGAUCCUACGAAAUUUAAUCAUACUCAAGCAGGGGUCGCAUUAAGAAACAGUAAAGUCUUCAGUGAAGAGGUAAGCUUGAAGUCAGACGAUAUUCGUCUUACGAACCCUAGAGUCUUAUACGCCUUACAACUUAUUGAUUGGAUAUAAUAGAUAUGAUAGUAGAAAUCAAGGUCAGAAGAUAAAAAAAACCCUUACAUUUUUUUUAUGAUACAAUAUUAAUAUUGUUAAUCGAGUAGGUGUGGCUAAUUAAAGUAUGAGAUCUAGAGAAAGACACAGACUGGCACUUGUUCACGUUCAAAUUAAGAUCAAUAGCUUUGACAGUCGGAGUCUUUAGUAAUUCGCCAGAGUAUUUUUAGGUCGUCUGUAAAAGCUGGGAUAUCGUAAUUAGGAAUUAUUUGCUUGCUGCCGUUAAUAAACAGGGAAAAUAUUACAGGUGAAAGGUGGCCUUCAUAAGGAACACCUGAAGGAAUAAAAGAGACAUCAGAUUUACAUUCAUUAAUUUUCACCCAUUAUUACCUACCUUAUAGGUAUGAUUCGAACCAAAUUAAUAGUGGAUCAUCAAAUUCAAUCUAACUAGGUACAUAGAGUAAAAUGAUGUGAACAACUCUGUAAAAAGCUUUUUCAAAUUCCGUAAAUAUAACACCAACCAGGCACUUACUUUCAAAAUCUUUGAGAAUAAAAUUAUUGAGGACAAAUAAGUUCAUCAUGGCUGAGCGUUCUGGCCUGAAGCCAUACUUUCUGUCAAUAGGAGUCGGGCUAACUGAAGGCAGGCAGAAUAUUUUAGAGUACGAGUUUUACAAAAAGCUUUGGAAUAUGGCCUAAAAUAGAAAUUGAUCUGUAAUUCCUGACACAUGAUUUAACCCCAGAUUUAAAAAUGAGGGUGAUGGUGCUUAGUUUCCAGAUGGAUAGACAUAUCUCAUCGUCUAAUGAAUAUCUAAAGGUUUGUCAGAGUAGGGCGGAAAAAAACGAUUUAAGGUUUAAAAAGAAGGUUCCUGGAAGUCCAUCAGGUUCUGUAGAAUUCACGUUUUUUAAUUUAUCAAAACCAGACUUUAUACCAGCAAUACUAAAAAAUCAAUUAUUAGGAAGUUUAUAAUACUGGUGAAGAAAAUUAAUUUUACUCUUGAACAAGGAAACGGAGUAGACUGAGUUAAAGAACUAAGACAAUAGUUUAAUAACUAUAGGCCUAUAUUAUGAAUGAGCAGUUCUGAUGGUAUGUAUGAACAAAAUUUGCUAUCAGUCUAGUAAUCACAAACCUUUUGAAAAACCCUUCAAAUAUUUAGGAAAUCGUUCUUAAAUAUUCGAAACUUGAUAUACGUUAAAUAUUUGACCGUGUGAACCCGGCUUUAUAUAAUUUCAUAAUCCAUGAUAAAUGACUAUCAAUUUAAAAUAUUAUUUUGUUAUUUUAAAAUAUUUUGUUUAUCAAUAUAAUUGUUUGUGCAUGUUUUUUUUUUUUUUUUUUUAUCAAAAAAAUAAAAAUGAAUUUUAUAAAUAUAUUCUAUCUACUUAAAUUAAAAAAAAAAAAAAUAAAUUUUUAGAAAAGUUGAUCUCAAAAUACGAGUGUUAUACCAGAUGAUAAAGAAAUAAAUCUAUAAUGUGUAUAUUAAUAAAAUUAUUUUUUUUAAGCUUUUAACAAUUAUUUUAUAACUAAUGAUAACAAAUUAAUUAUCAUGCCAAUUAAAAUGAUAAAUAAAUUGUCAUGUUUUUGUUUUAGUGUACCCACUGAAGUAUUACACCCAUCUUAUUACCAGGUUAUCAAAAUGUAUGUAAUAAUAUAGUGUAAAUCAUUUACAUAUAUUGGGUGUAUUAAAUAUAGCCAUAAUAAUAUAAUGAUACUUUUAUUUUAAAGGUGCGUUUAGCUUUAGACUGUAGCCUAAAUACGAACGGACGAAAGAACGAAUGACUAUUUGCAAAUGACUUAAUAUGUCGUUUCAAACGUAAACUAACAGCUUUUGCUCCAAGAUAAUGAUAUGAUCGAAUGUCUACUGAAUUCACUUCGUAUUCGUUCAUUCAUUCAUGUUCAUUUGUUCAGGCUCAAGUUUAAAUGUACCUUACUAAUAUUCAAUACUGGCAUACUGGCUGUCCUGCACUACAUUUUCUGUGCAGAGUAUUGAAAAAUAUUUAUAUUAAUAAUACAAAUAUUUAACGAAUUCAUAAAAUUAAUUUUUGUGUUUAAUACUCACCAUUCUAAUGAUACGAAUGAUUUGUAAUAAUAGUUCCAAUUUUGAGCCCAAUCAACUGGUGUCGAAAAA
rnacentral:lncRNA from 1 species